rnacentral:misc_RNA from 1 species
UUGUAACAGCAUGGAAAUGAG